ACUCCUACGGGAGGCAGCAGUGGGGAAUCUUGGACAAUGGGGGCAACCCUGAUCCAGCCAUGCCGCGUGAGUGAUGAAGGCCUUAGGGUCGUAAAGCUCUUUCGCCUGUGAUGAUAAUGACAGUAGCAGGUAAAGAAACCCCGGCUAACUCCGUGCCAGCAGCCGCGGUAAUACGGAGGGGUUAGCGUUGUUCGGAAUUACUGGGCGUAAAGCGCGCGUAGGCGGAUUAGUCAGUUAGAGGUGAAAUCCCAGGGCUCAACCCUGGAACUGCCUUUAAUACUGCUAGUCUUGAGUUCGAGAGAGGUGAGUGGAAUUCCGAGUGUAGAGGUGAAAUUCGUAGAUAUUCGGAGGAACACCAGUGGCGAAGGCGGCUCACUGGCUCGAUACUGACGCUGAGGUGCGAAAGGUGUGGGGAGCAAACAGGAUUAGAUACCCUGGUAGGAUAGCG
rnacentral:rRNA from 1 species